AACUCUAAACCCUAAAUCCGAAACCCUAAACCCUAAAACCCUAGAGUUGAUGUUUUAGAGUUUAGAUUUGAAGAUUUAGGGUUUAGGGUUUACGUUUAGGGUUUAGAGUUGAUGUUUUAGGGUUUAGAUCUGAAGGUUUAGGGUUUUAGGGUUUUAGGGUUUAGGGUUCAAAUUUCAGAAAAAAGAUAAGGUUUAGAGUUUAGAGUUUACGUUUAGGGUUUAGAGUUGAUGUUUUAGGGUUUUGAUUUGAAAGUUUAGGGUUUAGAGUUGAUGUUUCGGGGUUUAGGGUUUAGAGUUGACGUUUCAUGGUUUAGGGUUUAGAGUUGAUGAUUUAGGGUUUAAAGUUGAUGUUUAAGUUUAGAUUUAGGGUUUAGGGUUUACGUUUAGGGUUUAGAGUUGAUGUUUUAGGGUUUAGAUUUGAAGUUUUAGGGUUUAGGGUUUAGAGUUGAUGUUUCGGGGUUUAAGGUUUAGAGUUGAUGUUUCAUGGUUUAGGGUUUAGAGUUGAUGAUUUAGGGUUUAGAUUAGUUAAGCAUAUGUUUUUUUUUGUCAAAGGUAAUCAAAAGUUUAUAAAUGUCUUUUACCUUUCAUUGAAGAUGAGGAUAAAAAUGGUUAGUGUAAACAUGAAAAGCGGUACUUUGAAAAUGAUAUUUUUGGCAAUUUCCCUUAAAUAAAUUACUACAUAUUAAUAAUGUCGACUAAAAGUAUAAUUAAUAAUAUUAUAGAGUUACGCAAUAUGUAAUACUAAAACGGAAAUUAUAUAUUUAAAACAUUUGUAAUAAUAUAAAAUACAUUUAUAAAAUUAAAAAAUAUCGGUACGGACGUGCGGGUUAUAAUCUAGUAUAUUUUAAAAAUUAUUAUUUUAGAUAGAGUUUCCUUCAUUUCUUUUAGUUAAUAUAUUAAAUCAAUUUUUAUAAAUUUUCUUUAAAAUGAUAUGAAAAUAUUUCCAAUUAUCAAAUAAUAAAAUUAAAUCUAAUUCUAAAAUUUAAAAUUUAAAAUUUAUAAAUAUAAGGUGGAAGUAAAUGGUGUUACGAUUUAAAUAAAAAUUCGUAAUUAAAGUACAAUUUUUAAUUCUAGAUAUUAAUUCUAGAUAUUAAUUCUAGAGAUUAUAGAGCUAUUAAUCUCUAGAAUAUUAUAAAGCUAUUAAUCUCUAGAGAUAAAAAAUUUCAAUUUUUUAUAAUAACUUUAUAAUUCUUCAAAAUAUGUUUUUUCUUCAAUUUAUACAUGUUGCUAUAAUACAUUUUAAGAAUUUAUUUAUUUAUAUCAUAAACAAUGCUAUAGAGCAAUUAAUCUCUAGAGAUUACGGCACUAACAUAUUUUAAUCUCUAGAAUUAAAAAUUGUAUUAUUAUAAAUAACACUAAAUAAUAUUUCGUAAUUUAAAAAAUAUUUUAUAAUUAUUACAUUAUUUAAUGUCAUGUUUAAAUAUAUUUAUUUUAUGAUGAUUAUGAGUUAUAAUUUUAGAUAGAUUUUUAUUUAUUUAUUUUGUUGAUAUAUAUUAAAUCAAUUUAUACAAAUUUUCUUUUUUAAAAAAUGAUAUGAAAUUUUUAUAAUUAUCAAAAAAUAGAAUUCAUAAAAUUUAAAAUUUCUAAAUAUAAAUAGGAAAGAAAUAAUUUAACGAUUAAAAGUUUAUAUUUUUAUAAAAAUUGUAUAAAUUUUUUAAAAUCUGGUUUAGUAGUAUAUGAUUAUAAAAAUAAACUAAAUAAUAUUUCAAAAUUUGUAGAAACAUUUAUACUUAUUACAUUAUUUAAUUUCAAAUUUAAAUAUAUUUAUUUUAUGAUGAUUAUGAGUUAUUUACAUAUUCUAUAAAGUUUACCAAAAAUAGAAAUUAACAUUAAAUGUAAUUGUCAUGUCAUAUUUUGCAUUUAGCCGUAUCGUCAAUUAUAGUAUGUCAUGUCACCCUUUUUUUGUUAGUGAAAGUGAUUCUACAGAUGUUAUGUGUCAACACUUUUCAAAUCAUUUAUAGGGAAUUAUCUAGCGUUUAAAAAAGAGUAAUGUAUGAGCCGAGAUAUUUGUUGAAAAUAAUGUUUAAACCAAAUAGAAAGAAUAAAAUUAGAAGGCCGUAAAUGAGGCCAAAAUGUGGCUUUUCAGAAAUUAGAAGUUGGAAUGGAGUUCUACUAUCUUGCAUAAUAUUUCCAAGUAUUGCAAAUGCUUUUGUAGAUUCUUAAAGUGGAUACAUGGCACUUGAAUCUAUGAAACACCAUGCUAACAUUAUGAUGCUAAUGUGUGUUUACUCUUUAUUACUAAUCAUCUAUCUAAUCAAAAGCUACAGAAACUCGAACGGGAAAAAUGUAAUCCCCCCUCUAUCUUUUGAAGCCCAUUACUAAUGGUAAGGUUCUUUGGUAAUAGACCAACCAAAGAUCCUUCACGAUGAUCUUUCUUGUCACAUGGUUUGGGCACGCAUUACCAAGGGCUUAUUGAGAUACUUUGGUUUUAAGGAUUUUAACCAUGGAAUAAAUCCAAUUUUAGGAUCUAUUAUAUGUGUUUUGAAUCUGUUUUUUUUUUGUCUUUAUAGGUUCAUGUAUGUUAUAGAGCAUUCUAGAGAUUAUAGAGCUAUUUGGAGCAUUUUAAGAAUUGAUGUCGAAAAUUUGAAGUUGGAUUCAGUGCCGAUCAACACCAUUCUUAGUGUCGCGCGAUACCCAUACUGUUCGAGCAAGCCAACACGCAUCUCAAAAAUUUCACUUUGGCCCAAAAGUUUAUAGUAUUUGCAAUAAAAAAAUCUCUUGCUCAAAAAAGAUAAAAUCUCUAGCGUGUUUAACCUAUAUUUAUUUUUUUCUUUCCAGCCAUUUUUUAGCCCACACUUUAUUUUACUCUUUCCAUUCAAAGAUCGAUUGAAACUCUAAUAUUUCUUACUUUAUCUAUUGUGUGCAUUUUAUUCAAAUUGUAAUUAUGUUUUGGAUGAUUAUGUCCAAUUAAACUUCUUGUUGGAUUUAGGGAUCUCUUGGCCUUAAUGUCAUAUUGCUGAUUGAUAGAUUGCUAGGGUUCAUUGUAUUCUACACCAGGAUUGUUUAUCGUACUUGCUUCGAGAGUAAUUAACUAGAACCGAAAAUCACAGGAUAGUUGUGAGACACCAGAGUGUAAUCAAUUACCUGAACCUAAUCAUGUUGGACUAAGUAUUUAUUUGCAACAAGGUUGGUAUAAGAAUUUAGUUGAACAUAAUCAAAUCUGAUCUAAUGCUUGUCUGACUCGCUGAUUCCGCAACGAGAAUUGGUUUUUAAUAGAAUUAGGCAUCUAAUACUUUUUUACAGCGAGAUCUGGGUGACUUACAAUUGAAUUUGAAUUCUAGCAUUGUUCUUAACAAAUCAUUGGCACCUAUUGAUUGCAGUUUUGAAACAUUUGUCUGAUUUCUCUAAGUCUAUCACCUUCUCAUCUGUUACACAACCGUUAAGAUUUACUGUUUUGUUUUAUUGUCUUAUACUUCUGGCUUAUCUUGGCAUGAAAUAAUAAAUCUAUUAUGUGAUCUCAAGUUCAUGUGGAUUUGAUCCUAAGUAUUACAGAGAUCCUUUUAUUUGAGAGAAUAACUUAAAAGUUUAAUUUGAGCGUAUCACAUAUUCAACUACGGCCUUUUAACUGAACACCUAAACAAAAUAACCACAUAAUCACAUUUCCGAUAAACAAACUGGAUACAUGUCAGACUAAGACGUAUUAAAGAUCAAAUACCUUUUUCAUUAAUAAACAUAUGGUCUUUCAAAAACGCCUCAAACACAAACAUCUUCUGCUGCCUUGAAACCAAAGUAGGCCCGUGAAUAAUGCUGAUUUUUAUAGCUGGGAAGGGGAACAAAAGAAAGAAAUACACACAUCCCUUUAAGUGCAGAUAGACCGCUAAAACCAACUCUGUAGACGGAAUAUGUCAUCAUCUACUGUUUUCGGAAGCCAGUUACUACCCGCUUUGUCAUGAAUAAUGGAACCAACUUAGAACCAAACAAAAGAAAUGUCAAAAAAUGAAAUAAGUAUUGUUUAAUGUUUGUUAUAUGAAAUCAGAAUGGUUGAGAGUGAUACUGAAUAAGGAAAACACUUGAGAUGAUUAAAAUUGACACAAAACUAAUAGAAAAUCCUUGAAUGAUGCUGCGUAGACAGAGGUCAAGAACAGUAGAUGAUGUUGCCAAAAAGCUCAACUAAAGACCUCCUGAAUCAAGCCAAGAACAAAUGGUUUUUAGAGAUUAUGGAGUUUAUUGGCAAGUGAUUUAUUAGCCACCUAAGCAUUGUGAUGUGGGUAGUGAUGUGAAAUCUAUCAGAAAAAAUCUAAAGUUUUAUAUUUAGGCUAUAGCUUUAUUUUUAUUUUGUUUUUUUUGCUGUAGAAUAUAGGCUUUAAAUUUUUCUGUUGUAUCUAUAAAUUCUAUUGCUAUAGAUUUACAUCAAUAACUUUCAAAACACUAAAUAUAAAACUUUAUGAAAUUGAAUUUUCAAAGCCAAGUGGGUGUCGAAGCUGUUUAUCUUGUGAGCAAAGUGGGUGUACUGAAAUUUUUCAUUUUUGGGUGUAUCAGCCACAUGCCACAACUGAAGUAAGCAUACACAAAAGGGCCAUAAGCAAACACUAAAGAGCAAACAAUGUUGGUCAAAAUCCUAAAAGUGUAAAACGGAAACAAGUCUGCCUGGAAGGGGUUCUCUCUCAUCAUCACAAGGUUGGUAGCUUAUUUUCUCAUUCGAGGAUUAAAUAUUGGAAGCAGGGAAUAUGAAGAGAGUAUCAAAAACAAUAAGAUUAAGAAAUGUGUUGUCAUUUUAUUAGAGAACCAAACACAUGGCAGGAAAUAAAAAAACAACUUUGUCUCCAGGGUUUAAUUUAUUCUAACAUGGCAAGAAAUAAAGAUCGAUCAUAAAUAAGAACCUCUCAUUCCCAACAGGGUAAACAUCAACAGAGUUACCCAAAAAGGUUAGUUUUCACUAUAUAUGGUGGUAGCAAUGAAGUGUAUACCAGCUGCCUACACCUGCUCAUAAAGAAAAGUAGUUCCACCAUGGUUGGUCAUCUUAAUUACAUGUCUCUCCAAAUAAUAGGAUUGAAAGGCUUCCAAGUUCGUUGGUAGGCAAAGUAAACAUAUAUAGCCCAUGAUGCUGAACGAAUUAUUAAUAUUCAGCGUGGGAUUGAUGUGUGGAUUGUUAUAGGGCUAUGUUCCUCUUGUUGGAUCCUUGUGUCAGUCUUAACAUCUUGUUUCACCUGUGUUUCUUUCUUUCUAUGAGUCUCUUUGAUAUACUUUCAGUAUCAUUACAACAAAAAUGAUUCCGGUUAGAGCAUUUGACAAGGGAGAGGUAGAGAGUGUUCCUUUGAAAUUUUUCAUCAUACUUGCUUUAAUACCUCCCUCCCACCUUGGUUUUAAAUGACGCAUGGUGGGUGUCUCGCCUUUCGCCAUGAUUGUUUAGCUUAGUUUGCUUUAAAUAAGGUUGGUUCUGUUUGUAAUGAUGUGUUCUAUUUGUGAUGUUUUAUUAUUACGAAGGAUUUUUUUUCUUCCAUAUGGUUAUUUUGUGGUGUUAUUUCCAUGGAAUUUAUCAGAGAUGCGUAUGAUAGUGUGACUGUGCAUAUUAGCUAUUAGUUGUGCAGUUACAGUGUAAGUUAGCUCUUACUACGUUGUAUAUAAGUGAGCUCAAGUUGUACAGUAAAGUUAAUGAGAAGAUUUACACAUUCAUAACAAACUUUCUCUCUCGGAUCUUCUUCUCUAAACGUUUCCUUGAUAUGGUAUCAGAGCUUCACGAUCAUGAGUGUUUCCUUACGUGAGCUUUCGAUCUUUCAUUUCAUCUCUUUUCUCUUCAUCGCAUCUCGAUUCAUCAUUCUUGUUCUCCAUUCGGUCUUUGUUCUUCUCGAUUCGAGCUUCAUUUGAGCUUGUUUCGAUCUCAUUUUCUCGAUUCGAGCUUUCAUUGAGCUUGUUUCGCCCUUAUUUCAUCUCUCCUCUUCGAUUCACGGCGUUUCUUGAGCUUCUCCAGUUCAUUUCCCGGUGAUUCCUCUGUCUAAUGGCGCCGUCUUCAUCUACUCCGAAUAUUCCGGCGACUCCGGUGGAUUCUUCUCCGAUUACCGAUCACUAUGAGAAUCCUUACUAUCUACACAGUUCUGAUCACGCUGGAUUGAAAUUGGUCACCGAUCGUCUCACAUCUGGUGCGGAUUUUCAUUCCUGGCGUUGAUCUGUUCGAAUGGCUCUUAAUGUUCGUAACAAACUCGGCUUUGUUGAUGGUACGAUUCGAAAACCUCUUAGUACCAGUCGGGAUUCAGGUUCUUGGUCAAGAUGUAACGAUAUGGUGGCAACUUGGCUAAUGAACUCUGUUUCCAAGAAUAUUGGUCAGUCUCUCUUGUUCAUGUCUAUGGCUGAGUCGAUUUGGAACAAUCUGAUGUCACGUUUUAAGCAAGAUGAUGCUCCACGAGUGUUUGAGAUUGAGCAACGUCUUAGCACUCUUUCUCAGGGAUCUCUUGAUGUUAGUGCUUAUUAUACAGAGCUGAUUACGUUGUGGGAAGAAUAUAAGAACUACAUUAUGCUACCUGUUUGCACUUGCGGUCAUUGUGAAUGCAAUGCGGUUUUGUUGUGGGAACAACUUCAACAACGUGGCCGUGUCACCAAGUUUUUGAUGGGGCUCAAUGAUACUUAUGAGCAAACGCGUCGUCAUAUUCUCAUGUUGAAGCCUAUUCCUACCAUUGAGGAGGCUUUCAACAUUGUAGCUCAGGAUGAAAGGCAGCGUAAUCUCAAACCUGUUGUCCAGACUGACGCUGUGACAUUAAAAACAACAGGACCUGCUGCGGCGUAUAUUGAUUCAAUGGAGUUUGCUGCUGCGUAUAACGCAUAUCGUCCUCGUGGUAAUCGUCCUCUCUGUACACAUUGUGGACAGCUUGGACAUACUGUUGCUAAAUGCUUCAAGCUUCAUGGCUAUCCCCCUGGCUAUAGGCCACCGUCAUCUGGUUAUCAAGGACAGUCCUAUGGAGCUUCUCAACGAUCUUUCACUCCUCGUGGUCAACACAAUUAUACUCCGCGCUCUCAAAUUCCUCCAAAGACUGUUGCUCAGAUGUCUUCUCAUGCUGAUUAUAUUCCGUACAUUCCACCUCCUGCUGUUUUAGCAACUUCUCUGGAUGUCAAUCAGCUGAACUCUUCCCAACUACAGUCUAUCAUUCAACAACUCCAAUCUCGUGUUCAGAUUCCUGAUACUGUUGCUGCUUGUAUAACGGCCUCUAUCACUGAGAAAGGUGUCAUGGAUCCACAAUCAUCAUCUGGUAUCAGUCUCAAUAUCUCUUCUAAUCUUCGAUAUCAGAAUCACAUCUUCACUUUUCACCAUCAAUGUCUUUCCACUCUCUAUAAUUCAUUACCUAAACAAUCUUGGAUCAUUGAUAGUAGUGCUACAAGUCAUGUUUGUGCUGAUCUUUCAAAGUUUCAAGAAGUCUUUGAUGCAUCUAAUCUGACUGUUUCAUUACCAAAUGGAACAACAUUUCCCAUCUUGCAUACUGGCACAAUUAGACUUUCUGAUUCAUUAGUCUUGUAUGAUGUUUUACAUGUUCCUUCAUUUCAUUUCAAUCUCAUCAGUGUGCAUGCUUUACUUCAUCAUAACAACUGUUCUGCACAUUUUUACCCUGAUCAUUGUUUUCUUCAUGACCUUUCUCAGGCCUCGAUGAUUGGGAAGGGUGAUGUUUUCAAUAGUCUUUACAUCCUUGAUUUGUCUGCUUCUUCCCCUACUGCUUUACCUGCUGGUUUCUGUGGAUCAUUGUCAGUUAAUUCAACUACUUGGCACAAUCGUUUGGGUCAUCCGUCUGCUGCUAAACCCAGGUCUUAUCUGAUGCUUUGUCUUUACCUAGUUCGAGUUUGUCUUGUCAUGAGCAUUGCUCUGUCUGUCCUUUAGCUAAACAAAAGAGUAUUUUCCUUUUCACAAUCAUAAGUCUGAUACACUCUUUGCUUUACUUCACUUAGAUAUUUGGGGUCCUUUUUCGAUUGAGCCUGUUGCUGGUCAUAAGUAUUUUCUCACUAUUGUAGAUGAUGCUACUCGUGUGACUUGGGUGUACAUGCUUCGUAAUAAAAGUGAUGUUUCUCAUUCGUUUCCUGCUUUUAUUACUCUUAUUCAAACUCAAUACAAUGCUCAGCUAAAAGCUAUUAGAACUGAUAAUGCUCCAGAAUUACAAUUCAAUGACAUCGUUUUGAAAUAUGGCUUAACUCAUUACUUCUCUUGUGCUUACACUCCUCAACAAAACUCCGUCGUUGAGAGAAAACAUCAACAUCUUCUUAAUGUCGCUAGAGCAUUGAUGUUUCAGUCCCAGAUCCCUUUACCAUAUUGGUCUGACUGUGUUGUGACUGCUGCUUUUCUUAUUAAUCGUCUCCCUUCUCCGUUCUUACAUAACAAAUCACCAUAUGAGCUUCUACUCAAUAAAAUUCCUGAUUACAGUGUUCUUCGUGCUUUUGGUUGUCUGUGUUAUGUUAGCACUUAUACUAAAGAUCAUCACAAAUUUAGCCCUCGUGCUCGUGCCUCUGUCUUCUUAGGUUAUCUACCUGGUUACAAGGGUUAUAAAGUGCUUGACUUAGAGACUCGCUCAGUUUCUAUAACGCGUAAUGUUGUUUUCCAUGAGACUAUAUUCCCUUUGCGAAAUGACUCUUCUCCUGUAUUUGAUUUUUCUCUCAUAUAAUACUUCCUGCUUCUACACCUUUUGUUCCUGAUACUACUAUUGCUAAUACUCAUGCAUCUCCAUCUUCAUCUCCUCAUUCGCCUGCAUCUCCUCCAUCUCCUGUGGUUCCAUUGGUUCCUGAAACAGUCACUUCAGAUACUUCGUUGGUUUCCUGUCCUAUUGAGCGACCACGCAGACAUGCUAAGGCACCCUCCUAUCUCUCUGAUUAUCAUUGUGCUCUUUUAUGUUCUCAUACAUCUCACAUUCCUUCUCAUCAUACCACUCCUUAUCAUUUGUUCUCUGUUCUUUCUUAUAAACGCCUUUCCCCUCCUUAUUUUCAAUUUUUGAUGUCUUUUUCGGUUGAGACUGAACCUAAAAACUUCUUCCAAGCCAUGACAUCUGAUCGGUGGAAAGGGGAUGUUAAUGAGGAGCUCGUUGCCAUGGAUUUGAACAGAACUUGGUCUAUUGUUUCUUUACCUCCAGGUAAAAAUGCAGUUGGAUGCAAAUGGGUUUUUACCAUCAAGUUUCGUGCUGAUGGUACUGUGGAGCGUUACAAAGCAAGACUUGUUGCCAAGGGGGUAUACACAACAAGAGGAUGUUGACUAUAAUGAAACCUUCUCCCUGGUGAUCAAGCUCACUAGUGUCAAGUUGAUGCUUGAUCUUGCUGCUUCCAAAGGAUGGAAACUAUCACAAAUGGAUGUUUCUAAUGCGUUUCUCCACAGCACUCUUGAUGAGAAAAUUUACAUGUCGCUUCCUCAAGGAUAUACUCCUGGACCUUCUGAAGUUCUUCCUCCUAAUCCGGUGUGUCGUUUGCAUAAGAGCCUCUAUGGUCUCAAACAAGCUUCUCGCCAAUGGAAUCGAACUUUCUCGAAGGUUCUUAUCACUGCCGGUUAUGUUCAAUCUGAAUCUGAUACAAGCUUAUUUGUCAAGACUUCUCCAACUGCUUUCAUUGAUGUUUUGGUGUAUGUUGAUGACAUAGCUAUUGCAAGCAAUAAUGACCCAGAGCUUGCUGCUUUGAAGCUGGCCCUUGCUACUGCUUUCAAGAUCAAAGACUUAGGAACUAUGCGUUUCUUUCUUGGUCUUGAGAUAGCGCGUUCUUCCUCUGGGAUCUCUGUCUGUCAAAGAAAGUAUGCUUUGGAUCUGUUGGAGAAUGCUGGUCAUCUUGCUUGCAAACCUGCAAGUGUGCCAAUGGACCCUUACGUUCAUCUGAGUAGUGACGAUGGUGUUCCUCUACCUUCUGCUACUCCUUAUCGUGAGCUGAUCGGUCGUCUACUUUACUUGACAAUCACUCGUCCUGAUAUCACCUUCGCUGUUCACAAGCUCAGUCAAUUUUUUCAGAAACCCACUGAUGGUCAUCUUAAUGCUGCUCACCGGGUUCUGAAGUACUUGAAAGGGAAUCCAGGACAGGGUUUAUUCUAUUCUUCUUCCUCUGAGCUUUGCUUGAAUGCUUUUGCUGAUGCAGACUGGGCUUCUUGUCGAGAUACUCGCAUUUCCACUACUGGCUACUGCGUCUAUCUGGGUACAUCUCUCAUCUGUUGGCGUUCACAGAAGCAAAAGGUUGCGAGCCGUAGCAGUACUGAGGCAGAGUAUCGAGCGUUAGCUGAUGUUACUCGUGAGAUUCUUUGGUUCCAGACGCUACUGCGUGAUUUUCAUAGUGAUGUUACCGCUGUUGCUAAGCUGUUAUGUGAUAGCAAAUCCGCCAUCUACAUUGCCACCAACCCCGUUUUUCACGAGCGCACUAAACACGUUGAACUUGACUGUCACAUUGUGUGGAAUCAGCUUAAGGCCGGUACGUUGAAUACUAUCCAUGUUACGAGCCAGAACAAGUUAGCUGACAUCCUCACCAAACCUCUUCAUCCUGGCCCGUUUCGUUCUCUCCUAGGUCGCAUGUCCAUUUCAAGCCUUUAUCUUCCUCUUGAUGCAGAUUAAGGCUUGAUGGGGACGUAUCAGAGAUGCGUAUGAUAGUGUGACUGUGCAUAUUAGCUAUUAGUUGUGCAGUUACCGUGUAAGUUAGCUCUUACUACGUUGUAUAUAAGUGAGCUCAAGUUGUACAGUAAAAUUAAUGAGAAGAUUUACACAUUCAUAACAAACUUUCUCUCUAGGAUCUUCUUCUCUAAACGUUUCCUUGAUAGAAUUGGCGAUGAUUAAUCCCAACUGUUUUUGUUCCAUUUUUCAUGCGCGUGAAUUUUUUAUUUCAAAGAGAAUUCGAGUAGAGAUAUGUCUUUUGAAGAAAAAAUCAUAUACAAAGUACAAGAAAAAAAAGUAAUGCGAUAUAAAUAGAAGAUUGAUACAAUAUUAUAUAUAUCAAGCAAACUCAUACUAUUAUUUUAUUCUUUUGAAGAUUGAUACAAUGUUUUAUUAUUCUUAGAAUAUUAUAACCCCAAAUUUAAACUUCAAUAAUUAGUAUCCUUCCAAAGGAAAAAAUUACAUUAUUUACUAACCAUCCAAGGAAAAAAUUCUUUGGUCGGUUUUUUAUUUCUCACUAAGGAUAGACCUUUAGGAUCAGCAAUAUAUUCGCGUAUCUGACCACAUCGAGCGUUGUACGCUCCUCUAUAUGCUCUCCAUAACAUAACAAAAUUCCUAUUCUUCUGAUCCGUUAUUCUACAUUUCCAUACUAUUCUCCUUGAUGAUUCCACAACCGGAAAGCUGUAUAUAUCAUUGAAUUUUACAUAAGUGAUACCUUUGCCUUCGUCCCUAUUGGACGUGCAACCGACAGAGAUCGCACGAUCAGGUGCAACUUGGUUUUUAAAUUGUAAAGUGUUCGGAGGGCAUCCGGAACUUUCUUUAAAACCAAAACACAUAACAAUAACUAACAUAAAAAUAAUGAGAUUAUUCAUUUUUGGAUCUAAAGAUUUUUUUUUUUUUUUUUUUGGACAAGGAUCGAAAGACUCAAAGACCCAAACUGUAAUAUUUAUAGUUUCUUUUUCUGAUAAAUAAGGUAAUAGGCUAAAUAUAAACACAAAAAUAUUGACCAAACAUUUGGUGGGAGAAGCAUUCGUUGUCGAAAACUAAGGUAAUUCCAUAAGAUCAGAUCAAAUAAAUUAAUACUGCAAAUUAAUGUUGACCAAUAUAUCUAAAGAAAAUAAUCAAUGUUGAUCCGUGUAAUAUAAUUUCUACACGGAUCACACUUUUAAACCAUUGAUUAAAGUGAAUUCAAUGGCCCAGAUCUCUUGUUCAACAUUCUUCUCCAUUAUUUCAGUCAUAUAUGCAUUUCUUGUUCAAUACAUUAUACACGGAUCACUCUUUAUUUCUUCUCUCUCCAAAUCUCUUCUUUUUUUCACUCACUCAGAAAAACUUAAAAUUUCUCUUUUCUCUUCUAAGUCUCAUAUCUCUUCCUAGUCAUCGCUCAAGUUCGUAAGCUCGUCGUCGCUCAAGCUCGUCAUAGUUCAAGGCGGUAGUCCCUAUGAGAAGAAGCUCCGGUGUGGCAAGCUUGACGGUGGUGCGUCGAGAAGUGAUGGCGGUGGUAAAGAAAUGUCAUCUCUCUCUCUGUUUUGAAUCUCUGUGUGUUUUGGAGGAGCUUGAUGGAGGAGGCCGAAGAAGGUUGACGGCGGAAGAAGGUUAACGGCGGAGGUAGCAUAAGAAGGUUGACGGCCGGAGAAGACAGGAAAGCUUGACGGCGGAGGAGGCUAGACUUGGUCUCGAGACAUGACCGGAGUGCUGGUGACGACGAGUCUGCGUCCUUCUGCAAGACAAAGAGUACGACUAGGAGUAGAUACGGCGAACAGCAUUAAGUUUAGACUUAGUUUCUAAACCGGGUUCGUGACAAAAAAAAAUGUUUCUAAACCAGGUUAAAUUGAUUUAAUUUUGUAAACCGAUCUUUUAAUAAUAAAAUAAAUUAAAUCUCUAAACCGAAUUUUAUUUUAUAUAAACGGAUAUUUAUUUUUAAUAAUAAACCAAAGUUUAUUUUUAAUAAUAAACCAAAGUUUAUUUUUAAUAAUAAAAUGAAUUUUUAAUAAUAACAAAACUAGCUAUAACAAAUACUAUCGUACGGUUUAGAGAAUAAAUCGUUUAAAAAGUGCUUAAAUAGAAAGGAGAGUUAUUAUAGUUGGGGCAGACAUAGCUCUCAGUGGCGAAGCCAUGGCUUAGGGUAACACACAAUUAUAUUAAAAUUCUAAAUUGUACAUGCUACAACAUCGAAGUUUCGUAGCUCUGAUGGUAAUAAGAAGCUUGUGCACCUUUGAUUUCUCAUGUUUAUAGUGCACCCAUUAUUUUAGUGGUCUAGAUUCGCCGCUGAUAACGCUUUUAAUAAAUCUAACAAUAAUGUAUAAUAAUUUCUUACCGAGAGGGUAUCUUGGCAUCACUUACUCUCUUCUUGGUAAAUUUUGUUUUCGUUACUUCAACAAUACCAAACUCUUUGCUUCAACUGUGAUAUUGAAUGCUUAACAUAAUGUACUGCAUGUGUUGGUCUGCAGCUUGUAUGGAUUCUUGUCUAUAGCUUGACACACUUCUGGAAUAGCUGGCCAGACAUUCUUCGUACUGAGCAUCAAAUGCUACUUCUCCGUUAACUUGGAAUCCCUGAACAAAUCUCUAUUUUCUGUUAACUAUCGGAGGAAAUACUUUAAAGAGGUACACCGAUGAGCAUUCGAGUGAGGUAUUCCCUGAACAAAGCUGGUUUUUCUCUCCACUUUGCGUUGCUCUCUGGUAUUCCUUGGUUGAUACUUGAUGACUUUAAUCAAGUGAAGUGUGCCAAUGAACAUUCGAAAUCAGAUAGGUUAUCUUCAACUCGGGGUAUGCGUGACUUCGAUAACUGCCUUGCCACGACAUUUAUCUCAGACCUUCCCUUAUGUGGUAACCGUUUACUUGGACAAAUAAUCAAAGGUCUUCUAUAAUCUCUAAGAAGUUGGACAGGAAUCUUGUUAAUGAUGACUGGCUCAGUGCCUUUCCAAUUUCCAUAGGAGUGUUUGGCAAUUCAGGAAUGUCUGACCAUAGCCCGUGCUGUGUCUUCUUGGAUAGUCACAAGCCUAAGCAGAAAAAGCUGUUCAAGUUCUUUACCAUGCUGAAUGACAACCAAGAAUUCUCAGUCUUGCUUAAGGAGGGCUGGAACGCUUUUCAAUUCCAUGGUUCAUCCAUGUUCAAAGUUUCCAGAAAGCUAAAAGAGUUGAAGAGUAUUAUUCGUACUACUCAUGCAUUGAAAAUCGGGUCAGGGAAUCUUUUGAGGAACUUCUUCAGCACCAAAAUGUCUUGUUUAACUCUCCUACUACUCACACUGCUGCUGAGAAACGGAAAUCCCAUAGUAAGUGGCUGCUACUACCAAAAGCUGAGGAGUCUUUUCUCUAUCAACGCUCUCGCGUUAACUGGCUUGACAAAGGUGAUUCGGGCUCCAUAUGUUUUCAUCGCUCAAUGCGUUCUCGCAAAUUACAGAACCAAAUCAUCUUCCUCUUGGACGAUAAUGAUGUUAUUUUAGAGACAAGAGAGGAGAUCAUGAACCACGCUGUGGACUUUUAUGAAAAUCUUCUUGGUGGUACUGGUUAUCAGUCUUCGGCCUCUGUGGAAGAAAUAGCCUCUCUUGUCAGCUACCAAUGCCCGGCUUCAAGCUUUGAUUUUCUAGCAGCUCCUUUCACUAACGAAGAGAUCCAAAAGGCUUUAUUUUCCCUCCCUACAAAUAAAUCUCCAGGUCUAGAUGGGUACCCAGCUGAGUUCUUCACGGCUAACUGGAAGAUUGUGGGAUCAGAUAUGAUUAGUGUAGUGGCUGAGUUCUUCACCUCGGUAACCUUCACCAGAAAUGGAACGCAACUAUCCUAACUCUUAUCCCUAAAAAGCAAAAUGCAGUCAAUAUUUCGGAUGUCCGUCCAAUCUCUUGCUGCAACACUGCUUAUAAAGUUAUUCCAAAGCUUUUAGCUAUGAGGUUGAAGCAGAUCCUACCAGACGUUAUUUCCAAUACCCAAUCGGCCUUCAUAUCGGGCAUAUUGCUUCUUGAGAAUGUUUUAAUGGACAGAGUUAGUUAAGGGGUAUAAUUGGAAGAAUAUAUCGAAGCGUUCAAUGCUAAAAGUGGAUCUUAAGAAAGCUUUUGACUCUUUAAACUGGAGUUUUAUUAUCUCCAUACUUCAAGCUCUGCGUCUUCCUCCAUCUUUUAUCAACUUGAUUUCUCAAUGCAUCACCACUACCAGAUUCUCGGUGGCCGUGAAUGGAGAGUUGGGCGGUUAUUUCAAGGGAGCUAAAACUCUAAUAUGACAUCUAAAAUUUCAUAUUACUUGAAAAUUCUAUAAAAAUAAUAAUAAAGAUUGCAAACAAAAGAAAACAUUGAAAAAAAUCAUAAAUUAAAUAUAAAAAAUAGAACAUCUGACCGUUUAGUCUCUCCUAUACGAAGAACUCCAAUUACUCAAAACCAAUAAGAUAGCAUCUGAAGAUAUCAUUUUAUAUAUUAUUAGUCCAGUGUAAAUUCAAAAUGUGAUACAAACCGUUUAGUCCCUCCUAUACGAAGAACUCCAAUUACUCAAAACCCAUAAGAUUAAAUUCUAUGUCAAGCCGAUGUUAUACGUGGAACGCGUUGAGCGUUUCAUAAAAUAUCAACGCGUUACUCAAAAUAUCUAACUCCACUCUUGUGUUAUGGUAUAUGAGCAAUAUGCAUGAGUAUAACCGAUAUGUUUUCACUAUCAUCCCAACAUAUGUUUGUGUCGAUUCUAUACGUCUGGUUGUGGACGUACGUUAAUUUAUUUACGAUCAAGCGAAGUGAUUGAGAAGGUGUAGCACAAUCCGCGAUCACAGGUCGUGGUGGUGCCCAAAACUUGCAAAGUUGCAAGUUGCAACUACAAGAAAUUUAAAAAAUAAUAAUACAAGAUAAAUAUUGGAGCUAGAAGAAAUCUACGACGCACAUUUCUGAUCAUAUAUGUCAUUUGUCGGUUUUCGCAUGUGCAACAGUGAGAUGAUAAUUGAGUGUACGGAACAAAUCAAUCCCCAUGCAUGUGUAUCGAUCAGAAAGAUAUAAGAAGAAGAAAGAUCUUAAACGCCUGCAUUGAAAUAGCUCUUUCUUCUUUUGUUUACUUUGGGACACCACAAAUACAACGUUGUAUAUUUGCUUCUUGUUUCCUUGUUCAAUAAUAAAGAUACCUUAUAACAUCAUAAUGAAUAUUUUUAUCUAUUCCCUUUAGAAACUGAUGAAUGAAAGCUGAACGGAGCCGUUUAUCUUUUUGAGAAAUAUAUCAUGAGAUUAGAUUAUCAGAGGUGUAAGCAUUCCAGUGCAGUACGUUUCAGCAUGUUUUUUUAUUGUUCAGUUUCUACAUGUUUGGCCAUGGUAAAUGCCUUAAAUGAUAAUAAAUGUUAGUCAAGUUUCAGUUAGGCUUCAGUUACAAAGAAAAACAAGAUAAUGUUAGCGUACAUUUUAACUAUUUCCUAAAUUAAUGGUAAUUUUUGUAGAUUCACCACAGGUUGAUCCAUUCAUUCAUCAGUGGGUUAUAUUUUUAUCUGUCACUUUAAUUCCAUGAAAUUUUACAGCCAUUUGCACAUAAAUUGAUUUUUUCCUAAAUAAAAAUUCUAGCCAAUGAUCGGUGAAGUGAAAGCGUUAGGACAAAAACCCGGUCGGAAAUGGGACUAUCUUGAGGAACUAGAGACUUGUAUUGCUUGCUUGAGAUAGAAACACAAUAUCUCCUUUUGAAGAUUUACUUCACUUUCCGGGAAAAAGCAAGCAAGAAUGAACAGUGCACACACACACAUUAGUUACAACUGUGUUGUGUCACUGUCAUGUCAUGUUAGGUCCUACGGUCAUAAACGUGGUGGUAGAGCGGACCUAGUAUUUAUAUUUAAAACAGUAUUUUUAACCGGUUAUCUAUUCUAUUAAAAUUAAAGCACAAAAUGUUAUUUGCCUAAUUUUAAGCAAUUUUUAUUUUGUCUACAUUUUUUUAUAACUAAUUUUAACCACUUCAUUUAUUGUUUUUUCGAAUAAUUCGACAACAUUUAUACACAAGUGUAACAUAGAAUUUAUCUAUUUUAAUUGUUCUAUUACAUUUUAUAUAUUCCAUUUUCAACUCUUUAUAACUAUUUCAAUAAUUAUCUUUAUCAUAAUAAAUUAAUAAAUAUACAUCAUUUGUUUUACGUGUUAACCAUAAUAUCUCACAGAUUUGAAUGCAAUUAUUUCAUUCGGACAAAAAUUCACACCAAUUAACAAAGAAAAAAAUAUUUAUUUACAUAAUCAGUUAGACAUUAGUACUUAGGUAUCCAUUCGGGUAUGAAACGAUCCUUUCAAGUAUCAAGAUUCUGGGUUUUAAAAUUAGGCUCGUUUGGAUAUUAUAAAUUUAUGGAUGGAGUCCGAGUCGAAUCCUCCUCGAUUCGGUUAGUUCAGUUAUGAUGUGUAAGAAUCUAAAAAAUAUCCAAAUAACCUAUGUAUUUAGAAAUGUCAUAAAAAAUUAUAAAAAAAGUAAAACAUAUUAUCCGCGCGGGCGCAUGGGUCAAGAUCUAGUUUAUAUUUAAAAUAAAAAAAAAAUAAAGGAUGGGCAGGUAGCUUUUUAUAUAAAAUGAGCUUUUUGUCAUUAAUUUUUUAUAUAUAUUUUGGUGCAUUAAAAUAAAAAUGUAACAAGAGGGUUACAAACUUACAAUAAGGUGAUCAUAGCUUUUUGUCAUUAGUUAGAUAAUAUUAGAUUAUCAUUCAUAUAAUUAAAAAUAUAUUUCCUCGUAUUUUUUUUUUCUUACACCAUUAAAAAUAAUUUCCAUAAAUAAACUGUAAUAAAAGAAUAACCAAACAUGAAAGUUUGUUUUCAAGUAAAUGCGAAAACUAAACAACAGAUUAAAACGUGUCAUUCAUUGAUUUUAUUAAUUAUCACUACUAUAUAGUUAAAAAAAAAUAUCGGGUUCAUGAGAGUCAGCUGGCACCUACCUAUCAUAUGUGUCCUCCCUUACGUGGUGGUUUGUGAAUUGUGAGAGAAAGUUCACAUACAUGUCCGAACAAAAGAGAGAAGAAGUGGGAGACUCUCUGUAGUCUCUACCUGGCCAGAGGGCAGAGACUUUCGUAUUAACAAUCCUUUUAGCUCGAAAGCAAUUUUUCCUUUAUUUCUGUAACGUCCCAUCUUACGUGCUUUAGUAAAAUACAUUUCAGACGUUUCCCAAGUAAAGAAAUUCCUACGAAUGCAAAUCACACAAUCAUUGUUAUGGUCCUUAUCGAUGCUCAAUUCAUAUCGUACGCUUGGUUGGAGUUGUGUCGGUUAAUAUAAGAUCCGGCCCCAACCCCAACGCAUUACGACAUGAGAGUACGGACAAUAACAACAUAACGCAUACACUGUUCUAAGCUCAAUCACAAACCUCGGAUCCUUCUAGCUCAAAAAUUGACCUACUAGUUAUAUCUACGCCUAUAUAUGGUAAACAAACCCUAACGAAAACUAAAAGAAAACAAAAGAAGCGAGAACAACAUGAAGGUGAGUUCAAAGUCUAAAUUAAUUAUUUUCUUUUUGAUAAUUAAUGAGCUUUUAAUUUACGUAAUCUUAUCUCUUUGCAGCUGCUAGGUUGGAUGCGAACUAUAAACCUAAGUUGCUUUGAUCCAUCAAAGGAGUUCAAAGGUUUAACAAUUACUAUAGUAUAUACAUAACUUAUAUUUAAAAAAAAAACUAUGUCUCUCUCCCAUGAAACCUUUCAAAUAACCUAAUUCUUUUUUUUUUCUUUUUCAAAUAACCUAAUUCUUCAUCUUCAUAAAAUGUUACAUAUAUAUGUUUUUGGUUUACUUAUAUAGUCAAGCUAUCUUUCAGGUGGUUUCUGUUGUCUAAGAGCUCACGUUACCUCUGAAGUCCGAGACAUCCGAACAAACUCCUUCUCCUUCUCCAGAUCAUCUCAUGACCCCAAUCCACCGAAAACUGAUGAGGAACUUUGGUUUGAUGAAGGCAGGUUCGGCGGCUUUCUGGCGAUCGGUACGCUUGGUAGAGAUCCUGAAACACCAAAAUUCACAUCUUCCAUUGCUGAAGAUGAUGUAACCGUGGCAAAGCUCGUUACUGAGAAACUAGACAAGUUUCUUGAGGAAUAUUCUGAUGAGGAUAGUAGCAGUAAGCAGGUAGAAAUAUCGAAGGCAGAAUAUGGUCUCUUUGGAUCAUCCACUGAGCUUACGAAGAGAGGCAAUGAAGUAAAGAAGAUGAAGGGUUUACUUAAAAACCUCUUCAAGAGAAGAAAGGCAGUAGAAGGAGAGUGUAACUCAAUGGAGAAACAAGGGACCAGAGAUUUGAUUAAAAGGAUAUUUAAAAUGCUCCACGUCUCUCCUUCAAAGACGAGAAAUGAUGAUACCUACGAUGACGAUGAUUAUUCCAUGCACAAGAAGAAAGAUAUAAGAAAGGUUUGAGUCUUUUUAGCUUUAAGCAUUUUCAGAUCUUAUCCAAAGAGAUUGGUCGGAAGAAUUCUGAAAGUUAAUAUGGUUUUGGUUUUGGUUAUAGAGUGGUCAAAUCUUCCAAAGUAAAGUCCAUCCUGUUAUGUGUACACCUGAAAGAGACGAUAACAAGAUAGACGACAGAAGAAGCUGCAAACUCAAGAUCCCGAGUCUUAAUGGAGGGUUUCUCGUUCCAAGUUCCAUCUCCAAAGUGAACAGGAAAAGAGAAAAUUGGAUCAGGACUGACGCAGAGUGUAAGUCAAGAUGUUAUUCAGAACUUAUCUAUUCGAUUUUAUUUCUCUCUCUCUCUCAAAAGAGUUUUCAUAUCGUUUGCUUGCUUUUGCAGAUCAUGUUCUGGAACUGUGAAGAUCAACACACUGCAACAAAACUCCAUUGAUCCAGCCAAAGUUCACUCCUAUCAAACAUAUAUAUAUAUAUAUAUAUAUCUAUACAUAUCUACAAAAUCAUUGUCUAGUAAUGUGUAGUGAGAUUGUACGAGUUUUCAGGUCCAGAACUUCCUAGUUAUUCAGAAAAAAAAACACAUAUGUAUAAUUAUACACACAUAUCUACAAAAUCAUUGUCUCAAAUGUGUAGUCCGGAGGUUAUGUAUUCUACUUUAAGGUAAUGAAUAAGAAACUUCAAUUCUAUAAAAGUAUAGUACCAUAAUUUAAACACAUUCGCAGUAGUGAUUUUAGCCACAAUUAUUAACCGGUCACAAAAUGUCACAUCUCAGCUCCAAACGAGUAACAACUGCUCACAAAAUGUGUAACAUAUACGACCCUCUUUGACUCUUGAGCUUGCAUUCUCAACACCAUUCGUGCAAGCCAUAUAAGUUAAGAAUAUUAACACCUCUGGAACUCCGUGGGGGUAGUUAUAAAAAUAGAGAAGAAACAGAGUUACUAUGAUGCUUCUUAGAUUAUAUUUAAUUUUUAUUUUUUUUGAACAAGAUUAUGUUUAAUUAAUUUACUGAAAAUCAGGUCCAGUGUUACUGAUCAAAGAGUGAAACAAACAAAAAGGAAACCCAAACCACUAAGAAAACUAUCAAGUAGACACAUAUAUCUUGAUAUCAUCUUUCAGGAAUAGUAAUCUACUUUAUAUCAAGUUCUUUAACAAAAAGCAAACUCUAUCAAAGAGCACAGAAACAAUUGAUUGAACAAUCACCAAAGCUCAAAAAAGCUAAAGCCAAUAUAGAAUACAGUGCCCUCCUUGUAAGCUAUCACUAAGCUUUAGUAUCUUAACCUCUUAUUCCUUCUACUUAGCCACCAAGAAAAGCCAAAAAGACUCGUCAAUAUCCUUCUACAUAAUACAUCAUUUGUCUCCAUCUUCAUCUGCAAAAGAACAAACACUCUAAAGUCUAUUCAUACACACACACACACUUGAGCCGUCAUCAAUGAGCACGGACUGGGGAACGGUAAUUGUAGCGGUGUCUCUGUUCAUCCUACUAUCACCAGGACUACUGUUUCAGAUUCCAGCGAGAACGAGAGUGAUGGAGUUCGGGAACAUGAGCACGAGCGGUAUAGCCAUUUUGGUUCACGCAGUUAUAUACUUCUGUAUUUUCACGAUCUUGGUGGUAGCUAUACAAGUUCACAUCCAUUUCUGAUCUCCACUCUUCUUAUAUCAUGUAUAAAUGUAACAAAAUGAAGGGAGGUUUAUUGCAAACUCUAAUGUAAUGUACAAAUUUCUCUGAUAUUCCUCCUUUCCGACAAUGUUUCUAGCAGGACCACAAUGCUUAGCAACUUUUCUCUGAAUUUGAGCUGAUUAACAGAGUUAAAGAGUACAAAAUAUAUUAAAAUGAAGCAAACUGAAGUAACAAUACAAGUACAACAUAACCCUUUUCACCAAAUCUAUUUGUUACAACAUCAGACGAAAAACUAUAGAUUAAAGGUAUAUAAAGAACCCUAAUUACAGAGUUUCUAUACCUGUUUUUAAAAAGGGUUACACAUUUAUUUCAUUUAAGCAACAAAAAAAAAGAGGCCUAGAACAGAUCAACCGGCGUAGAUGUGGAGAUUAACGGCGAGGAUCAAAAUGGAGUAAAUGGCGAAGAAGAUGAGAGUGUGAACAGCUAUGGCUUUUCCAUUGGUUUUAAGGUUACCGAAGUCUACCACUCGGUUAUUUCCGGGUAUUGAGAAGAGCAGUCCCGGAGAGAGGAUCACGAAAAGGACAACUCCGACGAGAACCGGAGCCCAAUCCGCCAUUGGCUGCCGUUAAAAGUGAAAAAGGUUAGGCCUUUAGAAAAGGACAGGAGGAGACUGGAGAGAAGCUGGAGAGGAAAGUUAUGGUAAUGGGAUGGUUUGUUUUAUUUAAAUAAUAAUCUCGUGGUUAUCAGUAAUUUAAUAGCGCUAAAUCAAAUUUUUGUUCUCAAACUAGUAUUCAAGGUCAAAAGUUACAAAAAUAACACUUAAUGUUUUAUCAAAAGUCACAAACUUAUGGUUUAGAGUUAAAGGGUGGGGUUUAGGAUUUAGGGUUUAAGGUUUAGAGUUUAAGGUUUAGGGUUUAGGGUUUAGGGUUUAGGGUUUAGAGUUUAGGGUUUAGGAUUUAGAGUUGAGAAAUGGGGUUUUGGGGAUAAGAUUUCAAAUUUUGAAAAAUAAAAAAAUUUAAAUUUUCAAA
rnacentral:lncRNA from 1 species